rnacentral:tRNA from 1 species
GUAAGCACUGGGUAAGCAAACGAAGCGACUCAACAUCUAUUACAAAUAUCAAAAUCAGACAACCUUCCAUCCGUUGACGGACUCAUAAUCUGUUUGCCCCAGGUUCGAGUCCUGGUGGGCCCA